AUGAGGUUGGCAGAGAGUAAUGCAGUUGACUUAGGAUCAACAGACAAAAACUUAGUA
rnacentral:tRNA from 1 species